rnacentral:misc_RNA from 1 species
UUUCCCUCAAGUAAAAUAGAAUUUAGAAAUUUGGGAAUUGCAGGAGCACAAGUAACAAGCAUAUGAGCUAAAACAUUUCCCUAAGAAAUGCAAACACAAUUUGCUGCAAAGGUCUAUAAAAGCACCAAAAUGGUUUCACCCGCCAAAAACAGAAGAUGGUUGCACAUAGAUAAAUAGUUGACAUUAAGAUAUUAACUGCAUCAGAAACCAUCUAAAUCUUCAGUCAAGUAAAUCCGAAACUGCCGUCUUCCUAAAUGCAUCAACCUGCGCCAGCUGGGCAGCCAAGGCCUUGGUUGGGAAUAUAUUAUCUGCCUUCAUCCUGUCCCUCAUCCCAUAAGCUGGGGCCUUGGCAUUUAUGUAAGUCUGGAUUAGAGUCUGGAAUUGCCUAAGUCGAGCCACAUAUCCCGCUUGUCUCAUCCUGUGAAAAAUUUUUUCUGCAUUAUGUAUAUCACCCCGUUUUGCAUACUGAUCCAUAAUAGCUAAGUAAGAACUAAACAUUGGCUUCAGCUGGCUCUGCUGAGCAGCCUUUUGCAGUACAGAGUCGGCCUUUUCCACUUCCCCUGCUUCAACAUAAAGCUUAAUAAGAGCAUCCCAAGUCAAUGGACCAAUGCGACACCCACUAUCUGCCAUUCGCUUGACCAGAUCUUUUCCUUUGGCUAGCAUCUUAUGGUUAGCAUAAACCUUCAAAAGUGCAGCAUAGUGUCUUGAAGAGAGCUUCUUCCAAGUCGUAUGCAUCCUAUCAAAAACUGCCUCAGCUUCAUCAAUUUUCUUUAGCCUUCCCCAAGCUUCAAUGGCAGCCAUGCACUCAUCUAGCCGGGGAUUCGACUCACAGACCUUCCAAACUCUCCCCACUUCAUCAGCUUUUCCAAGUGAAGCAUAUAGGGGUAGCAAAGCCCUACAGGCCCAACGAUGCUCUUUUAAGUUUCCUCCUUCCAUCUCUUUCAAAGUAGCCUCAGCUUUUUCUUUGAGGCCACCAGAAGAAUAGUGCUUGGCAAUAAUUGCUUGGGUGUUGAUAUCAGGUUCAAUGCCUUCAGCCUUCAUGGUCUCUACAAUUUGAUCCAUCCCUGUUAAGUCAUUAGAUUGGCCUUUGAUAUCUAUUAAGAUUUUGUAAGUGAAAAGUGAAGGCUUGACAUUUUCUUUCUCCAUCAAUAACAAAACAUCAGCUAUCUUCUUCUUGUCAACCCUUUUGUAGAGGAGAAGCAGCUGGUUACAUGCAAAUGUUGUGACUGGAAAUUGAAGGUCCUUUAUUUUGUUGAAUACUUCCUCUGCUUUCUUCACAUUGUUAGCAGCAACACAAUUGGCCAACAAAGUUCGGUAGAUUACUUCCCCUCUGAAUGAUUUUGGGAUUUUCUCAAUAUAGUUCUCAGCCUUGUGGAGACCACGCACUUUUGCAAUCAAAUCAACCCGAGAAGCAUAAUCUCUCUCAAUAAAGUCCAGUCGGUUAUUGGCCUCCAACCACUCUGAUAGCUGCAGGGCCCUCCCAUACAUUCGACGUUUACGAAGAUCAAGCAUGACCAGUAAGAUCUCUGCCCGAUCCAAAUCCUUUCCUUCUUCCACCCACUUAUCAAGAACGCCAUUGAUAGACAAACCUGGAGCAGAAAUGAUGGCUCGAAACAGUUCUGAGGCAACUUUUUUCUUCAUUGAUGCUUUCACAUCUGAAUCUGCUUCAGUAUCUAAUAAUUCCAUUGCAUUUUGAGAGUGUUCUCCAACAUCAUCAUUAUCAUCAGAAAGCUCAGGUUCAGAAACUAACUCAUCUUCAUUCCCACCUACUGCAUUCCCUUCUUCAAUUGCGUUAUCACUAACUGGUGUUUCGAGUUCAGAAAAC